rnacentral:rRNA from 1 species
GACGUAGGGCGCGAGCGUUGUCCGGAUUUAUUGGGCGUAAAGAGCUCGUAGGCGGCUUGUCGCGUCGUCCGUGAAAACUUGGGGCUCAACCCCAAGCUUGCGGUCGAUACGGGCAGGCUAGAGUUCGGUAGGGGAGACUGGAAUUCCUGGUGUAGCGGUGAAAUGCGCAGAUAUCAGGAGGAACACCGGUGGCGAAGGCGGGUCUCUGGGCCGAUACUGACGCUGAGGAGCGAAAGCGUGGGGGAGCGAACAGG